GAACGAGAAUGUAGGCUUCGGUCUACUAGUAAAGUGGCAGACGGGUGCGUAACACGUGGGUAAUCUACCUUCCGGCGGGGGACAACAGUCCGAAAGGAUUGCUAAUACCGCGUACGUCAGCGGCGCCUACGGGCGCUGUUGGGAAAGAUGGCCUCUCCUUGGAAGCUGUCACCGGAAGAUGAGCCCGCGCCCCAUCAGCUAGUUGGUGAGGUAAUGGCUCACCAAGGCUAAGACGGGUAGCUGGUCUGAGAGGAUGAUCAGCCACACUGGGACUGCGACACGGCCCAGACUCCUACGGGAGGCAGCAGUGGGGAAUAUUGGGCAAUGGGCGAAAGCCUGACCCAGCCACGCCGCGUGAGUGAUGAAGGCCUUCGGGUCGUAAAGCUAUGUGGGGAGGGACGAACAAACUAUGGGCUAAUCACCAGNGGUACCUGACGGUACCUCCUUAGCAAGCACCGGCUAACCCUGUG
rnacentral:rRNA from 1 species